rnacentral:rRNA from 1 species
AGGAUUCUUGUAGUAAUGGCGAAUGAACAAGGAAGAGCUCAUACUGAAAAUCAAACCUUCAGGUUUGAAUUGUAUGUUUAAGAUGUAAUGCCAAUAGCAAUGCAAGGGUAAGCUUUUGGGGUGAAGCAGCAUUGAAGGUGAAAGUCCUGUUUGUCCCUUGUGGCUUGCUAUGUACGGCAUGCUUCCACGAAUCGUGUUCCUUGAAAAUGGAGCGCAAAGUGGGUGGUAAAUUUCAUCCAAAGCUAAAUAUGGGUUUGAAAUUGAUAGCAAACAAGUACCAUGAGGGAAAUGUGAAAAGGACUUUGAAAAGAAAGUUAGAAGUGCCUGAAAUUGCUGAAAGGAAAGCAAACGAAAUUGAUCUUGUUGAGGUAGAUUGCUUCAUGUGCGGGGGGAGGGUGAUGUUGCACACUUGCUGCAUUGUACCCCUGCUCCUCACACUUGUGGUGUGUCUGCCUCUACAUAUCAAACAUCAUUUGGGUCUUGCCAAUGUGCAUGGUGCAAGGGAUUUCAACUUUGUGAAUGAUUGCUCCUUCGUCUGGCAUCCUGUUUGAUUGCUUUGCACUUGGGUUUCAUGGGUCACUUGUGUGCUCAUGCAUCCUUGGUGCUGCUUUUGAUGAUGAUAUUUCUUUUGACCCGUCUUGAAACACGGACCAAGGAGUCUAACGCAUGUGCGAGUUUAUGAAUUUAAAUUUCUUGGCAUAAUGAAAAUGACAGGUGGGAUGUGUGCACCAACAACCAACCAAUCAAUUGUGAGAGGUUUGAGCUUGAGCAUCUGUGUUAGGACCCGAAAGAUGGUGAACUAUGCUUGAGAAAGGUAAAUUCAGGGGAAACUCUGAUGGAGGCUUGCAUCGGUACUGACGUGCAAAUCGUUCGUCAUACUUGGGUAUAGGGGCGAAAGACUAAUCGAACCAUCUAGUAGCUGGUUCCCUCCGAAGUUUCCCUCAGGAUAGCUGGAAUGACACAGUUUCAUCAGGUAAAGCGAAUGAUUAGAGGAAUUGGGGGCUUGUUGUCCUUGACCUAUUCUCAAACUUUAAAUGGGUAAGAUCCAACAAUUUCUUGGGUGAAUUGGUGGGGUAAAUAAAUAUUCUAUGUGGGCCAUUUUUGGUAAGCAGAAUUGGCGAUGAGGGAUGAACCUAACGUUGAGAUAAAGUGCUUCAUUGCUCGCUCAUCAGAUACCAUAAAAGGUGUUGGUUCAUUUGAACAGCAGGACGGUGGUCAUGGAAGUCGAAAUCCGCUAAGGAGUGUGUAACAACUCACCUGCCGAAUGGACUAGCCCUGAAAAUGGAUGGCGCUCAAGCGGGUGACUGAUACUCAACCACUGCCUUGCAUUUUGUGAUUCAGUGAGUAGGAGGGUGUAACUGUU